rnacentral:misc_RNA from 1 species
CAAUAAGAGUGUUUAUGGCACUCUUCAAAAAAUCCAUACCCACCUUGUGUGCAACGUAAGGAGAAAAAAAGAAGAUGCGAGUCAUGGGGAAACCCAAGUCUUGCUCCCUUUCUUUUUUCUUUUCCACAUACACCUUUCUAUUAGUUCCUAUUGUCUGAAGCUGUUAGAGAAUGACUAAUUCUUAAACA